rnacentral:rRNA from 1 species
GUAGGUGGCAAGCGUUUGUCCGGAAUUAUUGGGCGUAAAGCGCGCGCAGGCGGUUCUUUAAGUCUGAUGUGAAAGCCCACGGCUCAACCGUGGAGGGUCAUUGGAAACUGGAGAACUUGAGUACAGAAGAGGAAAGCGGAAUUCCACGUGUAGCGGUGAAAUGCGUAGAGAUGUGGAGGAACACCAGUGGCGAAGGCGGCUUUCUGGUCUGUAACUGACGCUGAGGCGCGAAAGCGUGGGGAGCAAACAGGAUUAGAUACCCUGGUAGUCCACGCCGUAAACGAUGAGUGCUAAGUGUUAGGGGGUUUCCCGCCCCCUUAGUGCUGCAGCUAACGCAUUAAGCACUCCGCCUGGGGAGUACGGCCGCAAGGCUG